GGGGUUGUAGCUCAGCGGUAGAGCACUUGCUUAGUAUUUGUGAGGCACUGGGUUCGAUUCUCAGCACCCCA
rnacentral:tRNA from 1 species